AACGAACGCUGGCGGCAGGCUUAACACAUGCAAGUCGAGCGCCCCGCAAGGGGAGCGGCAGACGGGUGAGUAACGCGUGGGAAUCUACCCAUCUCUACGGAAUAACUCAGGGAAACUUGUGCUAAUACCGUAUACGCCCUUUGGGGGAAAGAUUUAUCGGAGAUGGAUGAGCCCGCGUUGGAUUAGCUAGUUGGUGGGGUAAUGGCCUACCAAGGCGACGAUCCAUAGCUGGUCUGAGAGGAUGAUCAGCCACACUGGGACUGAGACACGGCCCAGACUCCUACGGGAGGCAGCAGUGGGGAAUAUUGGACAAUGGGCGCAAGCCUGAUCCAGCCAUGCCGCGUGAGUGAUGAAGGCCCUAGGGUUGUAAAGCUCUUUCACCGGUGAAGAUAAUGACGGUAACCGGAGAAGAAGCCCCGGCUAACUUCGUG
rnacentral:rRNA from 1 species